ACKGCUCAGUAACACGUGGACAACCUAACCUAUGGAGGGGGAUAACCCCGGGAAACUGGGGAUAAUACCCCAUAGACUAUGGAUGCUGGAAUGCUCUGUAGUUGAAAGGUCCGCCGCCAUAGGAUGGGUCUGCGGCCGAUCAGGCUGUUGGUGAGGUAACGGCUCACCAAACCUAUAACCGGUACGGGCCGUGGGAGCGGGAGCCCGGAGAUGGGAACUGAGACAAGGUCCCAGGCCCUACGGGGCGCAGCAGUUGCGAAAACUCCGCAAUGCACGAAAGUGUGACGGGGCUACCCCGAGUGCUGUCCGCUGAGGAUAGCUUUUCCCCGGUGUAAGGAGCCGGGGGAAUAAGGAGAGGGCAAGUCUGGUGUCAGCCGCCGCGGUAAUACCAGCUCUCCGAGUGGUAGGGAUGCUUAUUGGGCUUAAAGCGUCCGUAGCUGGCCCUCCAAGUCUCUCGUUAAAUCCAGCGAUUCAAUCGUUGGACUGCGGGAGAUACUGUUAGGCUUGGGGGCGGGAGAAGCCGACGGUAUUUCCGGUGUAGGGGUAAAAUCCUAUAAUCCCGGGAGGACCACCAGUGGCGUAGGCGGUCGGCUAGCACGCGCCCGACGGUGAGGGACGAAAGCUGGGGGAGCAAACCGGAUUAGAUACCCGGAUAGUCCCAGCUGUAAACGAUGCGGGCUAGGUGUCGGAGCGGUCACGAGCCGCUUCAGUGCCGCAGGGAAGCCAUUAAGCCCGCCGCCUGGGGAGUACGGCCGCAAGGCUGAAACUUAAAGGAAUUGGCGGGGGAGCAC
rnacentral:rRNA from 1 species